CAGCAGCAGCCGCGGGAAUACAGAGGGUGCGAGCGUUAAUCGGAUUUACUGGGCGUAAAGCGUGCGUAGGCGGCUUCUUAAGUCGGAUGUGAAAUCCCUGAGCUUAACUUAGGAAUUGCAUUCGAUACUGGGAAGCUAGAGUAUGGGAGAGGAUGGUAGAAUUCCAGGUGUAGCGGUGAAAUGCGUAGAGAUCUGGAGGAAUACCGAUGGCGAAGGCAGCCAUCUGGCCUAAUACUGACGCUGAGGUACGAAAGCAUGGGGAGCAAACAGGAUUAGAUACCCCAGUAGUCCCUGUCUCUUAUAC
rnacentral:rRNA from 1 species